rnacentral:sRNA from 1 species
CUGCCGUACAGCUUUUACUCUGAAUCUUUUCAACCCAGCUUUUGGAAGCUGUGAAAUUUUAGCCAACUAGAUGCUAUUAUGGGAAGACCCUUCAAACAGCACAGAGUGGAGAUCAGAAAGCUCUCAACCAACAAGGCUCUGUCACUGUGAGGAUGGUGGCUGUCACUGUAAAUGAGAAGAGGAAACAUUUUCCUUAUCUUCUGAAGAUAAACCAUGGGGCUUGGGUCAUUUGUUUCCAUCUCUCAUGGAUUCCUACCUCUUGUUGCUUCCUGGUGGGUAUUUUGAAAACUACUAUGACUUACAUAUUGCUCUUGGUCUUACU